rnacentral:lncRNA from 1 species
AUGAAUAUCUGUGCUGGAAGCUUCUAUUGAACUUUACUUAAGUCACAUCUGAGACCCUCUGCCUGUCAGUCCACCAUUACCCUAACAGUGGUAGAAAUUCUUUAUAUGACACCUAGAUCUUUUUUUGUUGCACUUUUAAGCUGUGUAGGAAACACACUGCCCACAUGUUCAUACAACACAGAGUGAUUAUCCACUUAGUUCCUAAAAAGUUGUGUUUGGUUAUGGGAUUUGAUCCCACUUGUCCAGGGUUCAGGUCAGCUACUGAAGAUUAGGAUAUCUGGGUACCUCUUACUGGAGAAUCCAUUCCUGUUUUCAUUUCAUUCCUGGGGGCAAUAUUCAAUCUGGUGUGGCCCUCUGUAUUAUAAAAUGUUUCCCAGAUUGU